UACGAAGGGGGGCUAGCGUUGCUCGGAAUCACUGGGCGUAAAAGCGCACGUAGGCGGCUUUUUAAGUCAGGGGUGAAAUCCUGGAGCUCAACUCCAGAACUGCCUUUGAUACUGAGGAGCUUGAGUCCGGGAGAGGUGAGUGGAACUGCGAGUGUAGAGGUGAAAAUUUCGUAGAUAUUCGCAAGAACACCAGUGGCGAAGGCGGCUCACUGGCUCGGUAUGACGCUUGAGGUGCGAAAAGCGU
rnacentral:rRNA from 1 species